rfam:Otolemur garnettii contig125816, whole genome shotgun sequence.
GCUAGAUGUGGUGGCAUAUGCCUGUAGUCUCAGCUACUCGGGAGGCUGAGGCAGGAGGACCACUUGCAUCCAGUUCUGGGCUGUAGUGCGGCUAUGCCGAUCGGUGUCUGCGUUAAGUUCAGCAUCAAUAUGUUGACCUCCUGGGAGUAGGGGUAGGAGUAAGGGGGGCCACCGGGUUGCCUUAGGAGUGGGGAACAGGCCCAGGUUGGAAAUGCAGCAGGUCAAAACACUGGUGCUGAUCAGUACUGGGGCUACACCUGUGACGAGCCACUGCCCUCCAUCCUAGGCAACAUGGUGAGGCCCCGUCUCAA